AGCAUUUCUAAAUGACUUGAAGCUCUGUCACGGCAUAAUCUCUUAUAAAUAAAUGUCAGUGUAGUCACUGAAUGCAGACUGGAUUUUUGCCUGACUACGGUGCUCAGCCUUCUAGACAAUAGUUAUGCUAAGGGAUUAUCUUUUAACAUUGUGCAGUUAUCUCCUUUGUUUGUUUUCUUUUUUCAUUAUUCACAUAAGCCAAGGGAAAUGAAAAGCAUCUUAUUUCAGGCAAAAAGGCCUGUGAAUGAUUAACUCUGGUUCCAUGCGUUGGGACUUUGCAUAGCAACCCCGUGGCUUGCAACGACAAAAAAGCUCAAGGCAGGAACAGCAGCCCAGGGACCUGAGACCAGCGUUCUCAAAUGAAGAUCUGCUGUUAGAGGAGAAUUCUUCUGUCCUAGCUGUGUCUCUGUGAUCUGUGGAUGAGGGUGGGAAAGCACCACUCAGUCAAUUGGGGUGUACAAAAUGGAGUUUGAGAAGGUCUCACAUCCAGGUUGUUUUGAAGCAAAGUCCAAGCAUUGUAUCACUUCAUCUGCAAAUAUUUCAAUAAGUACCCAAAAGGUCCAGAUUGACUGCAAGAACAAAUCAGCAAUCCUGAGAGGACCCACAGGCCCUCUGAAGGAAGCAGACUACUCCUGCAGGACCUGGGAGAUACCCUGAAUACUUGGUUGGACUGAGUCCCAUGAAGCCAGAUCACUUCUGACUGCAAGGAGCUUGGAAAAGCAAGUAUCUGGAUCUUUUACCAGCUAAAUUUGGAGUCUAAGACAGAAGAAAACUGCAGAAGAUUGCUACCCGUUCAAGUAGAAAAACUCAAGCUGGAAAAUUAGCACAGCUGGAAAGGCUAAUGAACUUAGCAUUUAAAAAUGCUUGUAGAGCCGCCAGAUCUACCCCUCAAUCCCAGAGGUAGCUGUUUUUGACAUAAUCAACCCAAUCAUGAAACUUCAGAACCAUUUAAAUAUCACAGUGGUGAAAUAGAUUUGUUUGUACCACGACCUUCACAAUUUUUCUCACGAUUGUCUUUCACCACCCAUCAUUUGCUCCUGACAAAGUGCCAUUUCUUAUUUUCUCUUUAAAUAGACAAGUGGCAAAUUGACCAGCAAGGUAGCUGGCCAGGGUUAGAACUCUGUUAUUGAAUUCCUAUGGUGGGAGUGAAAACAAAAAUACUGAUGGAUACCUAUGUUAUGCCUACAAUUAACAGAGUAAACAUCUUAAUAGGCAUAGAAGACACAAACAGAUGUUCUAAUUGCAUGUCUGUGAGAAACUGAUGUUUACUAGUUCCACUCUGGCUUGGCCUUUGAGACCUCAGGAAGUUUCUCUCCCAGUGGGGAUUUCAGUGAUUUAUUGAUUUCAGUACAAUGAAUAUUUCAGAGACUCGCAGGAUUUUUAAGAGGUUAAAUACAUCCUUACAAAGGUUAGCAUUAUUCACGCUUGAAGGGAAUGCUUACUCUACUUUAACCAGGGUAGCUAUGGCCACAUUUGCCACAUUCUUGCCUAAGUGGGAGAGAAGAUGGAUGGGGUAAUGGAAGGGACUUUCUAAUAGAAAUUGUAGAAAUAAAACAUUGGC
rnacentral:lncRNA from 1 species